rnacentral:sRNA from 1 species
AGCAGGGUGAAGCUGGCAAAGGGUAUGGUGGGGUUGGAAGGGGAAUGGGCAGAACCUUCAGAGCCUGAGGGCUCCUGUCCAGGCCCCAGGGAGAAGCACUAGGAUGUCUGACUGAGGAGGCUGGGCUGGAGAACCAGUGGGACUGGCCAGCUCCUUUGGUUUGGGCUGGGCUGGCCCCUGACCUCUAUCCUCAGAAACUGACUUGGUCAUCUGUGGUAAGAAGUUCCCUCUUUUGCAGCAGAAAGAACCUUUCAAGAAAAGGUGGUUCGCCCUGGAUUGCCAUGAGCGGAGGCUGCUCUAUUACAAGAACCCACUGGAUGCCUUCGAGCAGGGCCAGGUUUUUCUUGGGAACAAGGAGCAGGGAUAUGAAGCCUAUGAAGACCUGCCCAAGGGCAUCCGAGGAAAUCGCUGGAAAGCCGGACUCACCAUUGUCACCCCAGAGCGGAGAUUUGUCCUCACUUGCCCCAAUGAGAAGGAACAGCAGGAAUGGCUGGAAAGUUUGCGGGGUGUCCUGUCCAGCCCCUUGACGCCCCUCAACCGGCUUAGUAAGAAGCAGGAACUGAGGGGUGUUCUUUUGGCCAAGGGCAGAGGACAGAAAAUUGCUUCUUCACUUAGGUUCAGCUUUGAUGCCACAAAAGAUUCCUGAUUCCUGAGUAUGCUCUUUUCGUUGUCUUCUCUUCCUGCAAAAGAAAAGCACAGACAUGCCAUUAUUGCCAAAAAGUCUCCUCUGUCCACUCUGGGUUCCCCUAACCGAGCCCUUCCCCAGGAGCUUUUAGAGGAGUUUGGCCCUGGCAGAACCCCUGG